ensembl:lncRNA
CCAUGAGCCUCCUAUGUUUUUGUAUUGAAGUCCAUGUACCCAGAGGAGGACAGAAGCUAGCUGUCCCCCGGCUACACCAUGGUGCUACCCCACAGUGCUGUUGAGGUUACUGUAGACCUUCAUUGCAAAAGUGUGUUUAAAUCAGUUAUUUGGUGUCAUGAAUAUAUUUAUAGUUUUAGCUAGGGUAACUUUUUAAAUGAUUUACUUUUUUAUGAAAUUCACUGAGGAUUGUCUUCCCCUUCCUCCUCUGAGGAGUGUCCACUGGUGUGCAGCUUGUCAUUUAAGCAGCAAAAGGUUACAGUCACAGAGCCUCCGUGUGGCAAAAGUUAGGAAAUAUCUAAUCAAUAGAUGGAAUUAAAAUUACGGAAUAAAAAGUUUAAGGAUAGACUACAACGACCAAGAGCCAACAGGUAGGCUGCUACUUAAUGCUCUGAUGGAGUUAUUUGUAAUGUUAGGACCCUCCCACUCUGUCUGCCGAAUUCUUUCUCUUUGCUCUUGUUUUCCUUAAUAGGAUGUCGGUGGGCGGAACCGGAAAGGUCGUCAGCGAAAUGGGACACUGUCACGAGAAUUUUUAUCUCAAUGGUUGAACUCAACUAUCACUGUAGCUUUGACCAAUUCUCAGAAGUUUGUAAGACCCUGGUUAAUGAAGAAUUAGACAAAGCCCCCAGUCUGCAAUAGGUUAGUUCCUUAUUCAGAGUACUCUGAAGUCAUAAAUGCAAACAGUCAUUUUAUAACUCCCACCUACACACACACAGUUUAUCACUUUUCUACCAGCCUGGCAGUUUCUAGCCGUUACUCUCCUCCCUAGAUUAGAGGGGCCUUGGAAGGGGCCUCUUUCCUGUUCUUUGUCUCAACUCUCACAUUACUACAUAGUAACACAAUGGUCAGGUCACACACACAUUAUGGAAUUAUGACUCGAACACAUUUCAUACAAUUAUAUGAUUUCAGGGUGGAAUCCUUUAGUCAUUACUUUAAACAUAAAUUCCUUUCAAUCCACCCUAUGACUAAAUAUUACUCACUGAUACUUCAACCUUUAUUGGAAAUAUAAAAUGUCACACAAAAUCAAAGAAAACCAAUUCAUGUAUUUACAUCAUAUACUCAUCAAUGACUGUUCUAGGCCUAUAUCCAAUUAUAACUCUUCUUUUUAGGAUUUUCAUUAUAAUCUUCAUGAAAUAAACAGUCUGUCUAAACAUUGAAGAUCGUCUCAUCCAGCAUGGGCUCCUCGGAAUUGAAGGGAUCCGAAUCAUCUAGGUUUGGAGGUGGACUUCUCCUGUGGGAACAGCACAAAGCCCAGAGCGGACACUGCCUUCCACUUCAACCCGCACUUUAAGAGAUCUCCCUGCAUCAUGUGCAAGAUGAUGCAGAGAAAGCUGCGGCAAGGAAGUUAUCCUGCAUUAGCACGCCUUCACACUGG